rnacentral:rRNA from 1 species
GUCUACCGCCAUGCCACCCUGAAAAAUUCCAAUGUUUGAUCUCAGAAGCUAAGCAGGGUUGGGCCUGGCUAGCACUUGGAUGGGAGACCAUCUAGGAAGACCAGGUGCUGUAGGCA